rnacentral:rRNA from 1 species
GGGUGAGUAACGCGUGGAUAAUCUACCCUUGAAUUCGGAAUAACAUCGCGAAAGCGGUGCUAAUACCGGAUGACGUUGUUUUCCCUGCGGGGAAUAUAACCAAAGAAUGCCUCUUCUUGAAAGCAUUUGUUUGAGGAUGAGUCCGCGUCCCAUUAGCUUGUUGGCGGGGUAAAGGCCCACCAAGGCAGUGAUGGGUAGCUGGUCUGAGAGGAUGAUCAGCCACACUGGGACUGACACACGGCCCAGACUCC